UGAGGAAUAUUGGUCAAUGGGCGCAAGCCUGAACCAGCCAUGCCGCGUGCAGGAAGACGGUCCUAUGGAUUGUAAACUGCUUUUAUACAGGAAGAAACACCUCCACGUGUGGAGGCUUGACGGUACUGUAGGAAUAAGGAUCGGCUAACUCCGUGCCAGCAGCCGCGGUAAUACGGAGGAUCCAAGCGUUAUCCGGAAUCAUUGGGUUUAAAGGGUCCGUAGGCGGUCUUAUAAGUCAGUGGUGAAAGCCCAUCGCUCAACGAUGGAACUGCCAUUGAUACUGUAAGACUUGAAUACUUGUGAAGUAACUAGAAUAUGUAGUGUAGCGGUGAAAUGCUUAGAUAUUACAUGGAAUACCAAUUGCGAAGGCAGGUUACUAACAAGUUAUUGACGCUGAUGGACGAAAGCGUGGGGAGCGAACA
rnacentral:rRNA from 1 species